UACAGAGGUCCCGAGCGUUGUUCGGAUUUAUUGGGCGUAAAGGGUGCGUAGGCGGCGGAGUAAGUUGGGUGUGAAAUCCCGGGGCUUAACCUCGGAAUUGCAUUCAAUACUGCUUCGCUAGAGUACUGGAGAGGAGGCUGGAAUUUACGGUGUAGCAGUGAAAUGCGUAGAUAUCGUAAGGAAGGCCGGUGGCGAAAGCGAGCCUCUGGACAGUUACUGACGCUGAUGCACGAAGGCCAAGGGGAG
rnacentral:rRNA from 1 species